rnacentral:rRNA from 1 species
AUUGAACGCUGGCGGCAUGCUUUACACAUGCAAGUCGAACGGUAACAGGCCGCAAGGUGCUGACGAGUGGCGAACGGGUGAGUAAUGCAUCGGAACGUGCCCAGUCGUGGGGGAUAACGCAGCGAAAGCUGCGCUAAUACCGCAUACGAUCUAUGGAUGAAAGCGGGGGACCGAAAGGCCUCGCGCGAUUGGAGCGGCCGAUGUCAGAUUAGGCAGUUGGUGGGGUAAAGGCUCACCAAGCCAACGAUCUGUAGCUGGUCUGAGAGGACGACCAGCCACACUGGGACUGAGACACGGCCCAGACUCCUACGGGAGGCAGCAGUGGGGAAUUUUGGACAAUGGGCGCAAGCCUGAUCCAGCAAUGCCGCGUGCAGGAAGAAGGCCUUCGGGUUGUAAACUGCUUUUGUACGGAACGAAACGGCUCUGGUUAAUACCUGGGGCUAAUGACGGUACCGUAAGAAUAAGCACCGGCUAACUACGUGCCAGCCGCCGCCGUAAAAC